rnacentral:rRNA from 1 species
GAUGAACGCUAGCGACAGGCUUAACACAUGCAAGUCGAGGGGCAGCGAGAAAGUGCUUGCACUUUUGUCGGCGACCGGCGCACGGGUGAGUAACACGUAUGCAACCUGCCCUUGUCAGGGGGAUAAGCGGGGGAAACCCCGUCUAAUACCGCAUAUAUGAUUUGGAGGCAUCUCUAAAUCAGGAAAGAAUUAUCGGACAUGGAUGGACCUGCGGCGCAUUAGCUAGAUGGUGAGGUAACGGCCCACCAAGGCGACGAUCAGUAGCCGGCCUGAGAGGGUGAACGGCCACAUUGGGACUGAGACACGGCCCAAACUCCUACGGGAGGCAGCAGUGGGGAAUAUUGCACAAUGGGGGAAACCCUGAUGCAGCGACGCCGCGUGAGUGAAGAAGUAUUUCGGUAUGUAAAGCUCUAUCAGCAGGGAAGAUAAUGACGGUACCUGACUAAGAAGCCCCGGCUAACUACGUG